AUACGUCGGUGACAAGCGUUAUCCGGAUUUACUGGGCGUAAAGGGCGUGUAGGCGGUCUUGCAAGUCAGAAGUGAAAUUCCUGAGCUCAACUCGGGCGCUGCUUCUGAAACUGCAGGACUUGAGUGCUGGAGGGGAUAGCGGAAUUCAUAGUGGAGCGGUAAAAUGCGCAGAUAUUAGGAAGAACCCCGGUGGCGUAGGCGGCUAUCUGGACAGUAACUGACGCUGAGGCGCGAAAGCGUGGGGAGCAAACAGGAUUAGAUACCCUGGGAGUCCACGCCGUAAACGAUGAAUACUAGGUGUAGGGGGUAUCGACUCCCUCUGUGCCGCAGUUAACACAAUAAGUAUUCCGCCUGGGGAGUACGGCCGCAAGGUUGAAACUCAAAUGAAUUGACGGGG
rnacentral:rRNA from 1 species